rnacentral:misc_RNA from 1 species
UUUCCGUAGGUGAACCUGCGGAAGGAUCAUUAUCGUACAAAAUGUGAGGGGCAUGCGAGGGCUGUCGCUGACCCAAAAAGUCAUUCACGCCCGAGUGUGUCCUCUUGCAUAAUAAUCCAUCUCACCCUGCGUGCAUCACCGCGUGGGCACCUUUCGGGCUCAUCUCGGAGGGGGGCUCGCGUUUUCACACAAACCCCCCUUUUAAAAGUGUAGAAUGACCACAUUUAUGAAAUCCAUACAACUUUCAACAACGGAUCUCUUGGCUCUC